rnacentral:pre_miRNA from 1 species
UGACUACUCCCUCCGUCCGGAAAUACUUGUCAUCAAAAUGAAUAAAAGGGGAUGUAUCUAGAUGUAUUUUAGUUCUAGAUACAUCUUUUUUUUUGUCCAUUUUGAUGACAAGUAUUUUCGGACGGAGGGAGUAUAAU